GACGAACCGAGCGAACGUUGUUCGGAAUCACUGGGCUUAAAGAGCUCGUAGGCGGUCUGUCGCGUCUGCUGUGAAAAUCAGGGCUCAACCCUGGACCUGCAGUGGGUACGGGCAGACUAGAGUGCGGUAGGGGAGAUCGGAAUUCCUGGUGUAGCGGUGAAAUGCGCAGAUAUCAGGAGGAACACCGGUGGCGAAGGCGGAUCUCGUGGGCC
rnacentral:rRNA from 1 species